GAUCUCUAUGGGGAUCUAUGGGGUCUCUAUGGGGAUCUGUGGGUCUCUAUGGGGCUCUAGGGGUCCCUAUUGGUCCUUAUGGGUCUCUAUGGGGUCUCUAUGGGGUUCUAUGUUGUCUCUAUGGGGCUCUAUGGAGCUCUAUGAGUAAUUAUGGGGUUUCUAUGGGGCUCUAUAGGGUUCCCAUGGGUCUUUAUGGGGUCUCUAUGGGGCUCUGUGGGGCUCUAUGGGGUUUCUAUGGGUCUCUAUGGGGCUCUAUGGAGUCUCUAUAGGGUCACUAUGCGUCUCUAUGGGGUCUCUAUGGGUUUCUAUGGGGUUUCUAUGGGGCUUUAUGGGGCUCUGUGGGGCUCUAUGGGUCUCUAUGGGGUUCCCAUGGGUCUCUAUGGGGUUUCUAUGGGGCUCUAUGGGGCUCUGUGGGGAUCUAUGGGUCUCUAUGGAGUCACUAUGGGGCUCUAUGGGUUUCUAUGGGGCCUAUGGGUCUCUAUGGGACUCUAUGGGGCCUCUGUGGGGCUCUGUGGGGUUUUAUGGGGCUCUAUGGGGUCCCUAUUGCUCCUUAUGGGUCUCUAUGGGGUUUCUAUGGGGCUCUGUGGGUCUCUAUGGGGUCUCUAUGGGUCCCUAUGGGGCUCUAUGGGGCUCCAUUGGGGAUCUGUGGGGUUCUAUGGGGCUGUAUGGGGCUUUAUGGGGUCUCUGUGGGGUCUCUAUGGGGUCUCUAUGGGGCUCUGUGUGUCUCUAUGGGGCUCUAUGGGGUCCAUGGGGUCCAUGGGGUUUCUAUGGGGUUUCUGUGGGUGUCUGUGGCUGUCUAUGGGUCUCUAUGGGGUCUCUAUGGGGCUCUGUGGGGCUCUUUGGGGCUCUGAGGCUUUAUGGGGUCUCUAUGGGGAUCUAUGGGGUUUCUAUGGGGAUCUAUGCGUUUGUAUGGGGCUCUGUGGGGCUCUAUGGGGUCCUUGGGUUUCUAUGGGGUUUCUGUGGGGCUCUAUGGGUCCCUAUUGGUCCUUAUGGGUCUCUAUGGGGUCUUAUGGGGUCUCCAUGGGGCUCUAUGAGGCUUUAUGGGGUCUCUAUGGGGAUCUAUGGGGUCCAUGGGGUUUCUAUGGGGUUUCUGUGGGGUUUCUGUGGGGCUCUAUGGGUCCCCAUGUGGCUCUAUGUACCAUUGUCCCCAUUAACCCCAUUAUCCCCAUUAAUUAUCCCCAUUAAUGCCCCCCAUUAAUGAUCCCCCUUUCCCCCCCCCCCCCCUCCAUUCAUUUUCCCCCCAUUUCCCCCCCAGGCUCCGCCCCCCGGCUCUGCCUCUCCAGCGGACCAAUCACGUGCCUGGCCUGGGUGGGCGGGACCGUGCUGGCGGGGGCGGGGCCUGACGGCGUCCUAUGGGGAUGGGAGCUGCCGGGUCCCGCCCACCUCGAGCCCCGCCCACUCUGGAACCGGCCAAUGGGGAGAGGCGCAGUGCUGGGGCUG
rnacentral:lncRNA from 1 species